rnacentral:ncRNA from 1 species
UAAAUUGAGAGUUUGAUCCUGGCUCAGGACGAACGCUGGCGGCGUGCCUAACACAUGCAAGUCGAGCGAUGAAACCCUUCGGGGUGGAUUAGCGGCGGACGGGUGAGUAACACGUGGGUAACCUGCCUCAAAGAGGGGGAUAGCCUCCCGAAAGGGAGAUUAAUACCGCAUAACAUUAUUUUUUCGCAUGAAGAGAUAAUCAAAAGAGUAAUCCGCUUUGAGAUGGACCCGCGGCGCCUU